rnacentral:rRNA from 1 species
UACGGGGGGGGUAAGCGUUGUUCGGAAUUACUGGGCGUAAAGGGCUCGUAGGCGGCCAACUAAGUCAGACGUGAAAUCCCUCAGCUUAACUGGGGAACUGCGUCUGAUACUGGAUGGCUUGGAUUCGGGAGAGGAAUGCGGAAUUCCAGGUGUAGCGGUGAAAUGCGUAGAGAUGGGGGAGAACACUCGUGGCGAAGGCGGCCAGCUAGACCAGUUCUGACACUGAGGCGCGACAGCGUGGGGAGCAAACAGG